GUGGCACUUGAGGAGAGUGUGGACCUAAUUUGUGGCAUGCCUGCUAAAAAGAUUGGCCUGCUACUGAGAAAACAUUGUGGUGGAGGUGGCUGUCUUGUUCUAGAACUGACACCCUUAAAUGCAGUUAAGGCCAUUUAAGAUUUCUAUACCACACUGAUAUAGAGACCCUGUACCUCAAGUCUUCCAAGCACGUUCAGUAAGACAUGUUAUGUUAAGAAGCUGGGAGGGGGAAGGUAUGAAUGCCAUAUGCAAGUGAUGCUUGCAAUCAUUCUAUCAUGUAAGGAAAGAGUGUACCAGCUUGAAUACUACAGAUCAGUCUCUUUCUAGGCAGAUAGUCCUGCAAGACCUGAAGGUGAUGUCUAGUAUGUGGUAUUAGAAAGGCACAAAAGGCCAUAUGCUGUAGGAUUGAUGGGCAGAUUCUUAUUGGAGCCUUUGGGCAUCUCAACCUGUAGGACAUGCUCUUUUAAGUGCUUGGAAGUGGUACUGUGUGCAAAGUUUCAAGAAGGUAAAUGAAUAGAGAAUUGUUGGGGGUGGAGUAUAUCUGGGAAAGGAGGAGUCUGGAGAUAAAUGCAAAGAGGGAGAAAG